UUAUUGCUUAAGAAUACGCGUAGU
rnacentral:piRNA from 3 species